AUAUAUGGGGUUAGUGGCGGACGGGUGAGUAACGCGUGGGUAACCUGCCUUACACAGGGGGAUAACACUUAGAAAUAGGUGCUAAUACCGCAUAACGGGGGGAGCCGCAUGGCACCCCCCUGAAAACUCCGGUGGUACAGGAUGGGCCCGCGUCUGAUUAGCUAGUUGGUGAGGUAACGGCCCACCAAGGCGACGAUCAGUAGCCGGCCUGAGAGGGUGGACGGCCACAUUGGGACUGAGACACGGCCCAAACUCCUACGGAAGGCAGCAG
rnacentral:rRNA from 1 species